GCACUUGCCUUGGCAGCACACGCACUAAAAUUAGAGUGAUACGGGGAAAAUUAGUAUGGCUCCUGUAAAAGAGUGACGUAGAAAUUCAUGAAAUGUUCCCUAGUUUU